AUACGGAGGGUGCAAGCGUUACUCGGAAUCACUGGGCGUAAAGCGCGCGCAGGCGGUCUGAUAAGUUGGAUGUGAAAGCCUACGGCUCAACCGUAGAACUGCAUCCAAAACUGUCAGUCUAGAGUGUGGGAGAGGAAGAUGGAAUUAGUUGUGUAGGGGUAAAAUCCGUAGAGAUAACUAGGAAUACCAAAAGCGAAGGCAAUCUUCUGGAACACUACUGACGCUGAGGCGCGAAGGCGUGGGGAGCAAACAGGAUUAGAUACCCCGGUAGUCC
rnacentral:rRNA from 1 species